GUGCUCGUUCAGCAGCACAUAUACUAAAAUUGGAACGAUACAGAGAAGAUUAGCAUGGGCCCUGCACGAGGAUGACACACAAAUUCUUAACAGAAAAGGCAUGUGAUA